rnacentral:rRNA from 1 species
GACGAACGCUGGCGGCGUGCUUAACACAUGCAAGUCGAACGAUGAACGCUGGAGCUUGCUCCGGCUGGAUUAGUGGCGAACGGGUGAGUAACACGUGAGCAAUCUGCCCUUGACUCUGGGAUAACUCCGAGAAAUCGGUGCUAAUACCGGAUAUGACCCUUGGCGGCAUCGCUGGGGGUGGAAAGUUUUUCGGUCAAGGAUGAGCUCGCGGCCUAUCAGCUUGUUGGUGAGGUAAUGGCUCACCAAGGCGACGACGGGGAGCCGGCCUGAGAGGGUGACCGGCCAGACUGGGACUGAGACACGGCCCAGACUCCUACGGGAGGCAGCAGUGGGGAAUAUUGCACAAUGGGCGCAAACCUGAUGCAGCAACGCCGCGUGGGGGAUGACGGCCUUCGGGUUGUAAAGCUCUUUUGUCAGGGAAGAAACGGCGGAGGCUAAUAUCCUCUGCUAAUGACGGUACCUGAAGAAUAAGCACCGGCUAAC